AAAUCCACAGCUACAGGUGGAGUAAUGAAAUGUGUGUUUAAAUAAUUUAGAUCUACGGAACUUUGACAGGUUACCGUGGAUUUGCCCACCCCUAACGACCUAAGGAAUCUCCAAACUUGGGAUUGGCAGAGACCCUGAAUUGAUGAGUGAAUGUAAUGGCGCUUAGCGUCCCUACACAUUCUGUUGCAGAUGUUACGUAGCUUUUUAUAUCUGUUCAAGUGUUCUUGAGUUGGGUUUAGUUUGUUUUUCGUUUUAGCUGCGUCGCGUUUUGCCAUCGUUCUUUUGAUUAGGGGUGUUAGCCAGGGAGCAGGGGCAUGUUUGAUUCGCACAGGUUUUACAGGCGCGUGUAUAUCAUAAAUUUUAAUCAAUUCAGCAGUAAAUGAGACGACCAUAUCAUCGACGUUGUCUGCCGCGAGAACACUUGACCAGUCUGUGUUCCUAAUAUCCUCUCUCAAGCGUUCCACGUCCAUAUGCUUAAAGUCACGCUGAAAGAGAACUUUAGCCCUAACUCUAGGUGGUCGAACUUUGUAGGCAAGAAAAAUAAGUAUUAUAUAAUUAUUAGCAU